GGGUUUUCUUUCAUAUGUAACGUUACUUUGUUUUCCUAUGAUGUUUUGCACUGGGCUCUGAAUUUCUGUGGCGAAAAAGUGCUCUCUGGCUCUGACAGGCCCGAGUCUGAGGAUAAUGUUAGUCUGAGUCUUGUAGAUUUUUUAAAAUAUUCAUAGAUUAUCAUCGAUUAUUGUCCUAAUGGAAUUUAUUUUCCCCAAAUGUGACAGGGCUAAGUCGAUACCAAACUUACAAGUUCUUGGACCUGUACAGAAGAUGUGUGGUGACUGCAGUCUGUUAUUAACAUGGGAUGAGUUCUUCAAUGGAUAAUUUAGGGGCCUGUUUUGCACAAGAGGCACUAUUUUACCUGUAUUUCUCGCAUUAUCCAGCUGGUGUCACUUAAGUCCCUUUUUUGUUUCAAUCAAGCAGCUUCCCCAACAUGACCAAGAUUGUGAAACAAUAUCCCUUUUGCUAAUAAUUCUGUAGAUGUGGGAAGAAUUGUUAAUACAAGGGCUGACUCAUCAAUGGAAAUGUGCUGACCUAAGUGAGAUUAUUAUUAUUUUUUUCCUGAUUGUUAUGUAAGGCUGAAACAUUAAAAUAUUUUAAUCAGA